rnacentral:tRNA from 1 species
UUUUAUGAUGGCUGAUGUUAAGGUGAAAGAUUGUAAUUCUUUUUAUAGUUUAAAACUUCAUAAAAU